rnacentral:rRNA from 1 species
CAGUCGCCGCGGUAAUACGAAGGGGGCUAGCGUUGCUCGGAAUGACUGGGCGUAAAGGGCGCGUAGGCGGCGGCCAAAGUCAGGCGUGAAAUUCCUGGGCUCAACCUGGGGGCUGCGUUUGAUACUUGGUUGCUUGAGUGGGGAAGAGGGUCGUGGAAUUCCCAGUGUAGAGGUGAAAUUCGUAGAUAUUGGGAAGAACACCAGUGGCGAAGGCGGCUCACUGGACGACUGUUGACGCUGAGGUGCGAAAGCGUGGGGAGCAAACAGGAUUAGAUACCCGUGUAGUCCCUGUCUCUUAUAC